rnacentral:rRNA from 1 species
AUUGAACGCUGGCGGCAUGCCUUACACAUGCAAGUCGAACGGUAACAGGUCUUCGGAUGCUGACGAGUGGCGCACGGGUGAGUAAUACAUCGGAACGUGCCCGAUCGUGGGGGAUAACGAAGCGAAAGCUUUGCUAAUACCGCAUACGAUCUACGGAUGAAAGCAGGGGACCGCAAGGCCUUGCGCGAACGGAGCGGCCGAUGGCAGAUUAGGUAGUUGGUGGGAUAAAAGCUUACCAAGCCGACGAUCUGUAGCUGGUCUGAGAGGACGACCAGCCACACUGGGACUGAGACACGGCCCAGACUCCUACGGGAGGCAGCAGUGGGGAAUUUUGGACAAUGGGCGAAAGCCUGAUCCAGCCAUGCCGCGUGCAGGAUGAAGGCCUUCGGGUUGUAAACUGCUUUUGUACGGAACGAAAAGACUCUGGUUAAUACCUGGGGUCCAUGACGGUACCGGAAGAAUAAGCACCGGCUAACUACGUG